AACGCUAGCUACAGGCUUAACACAUGCAAGUCGAGGGGCAUCAGGAAGAAAGCUUGCUUUCUUUGCUGGCGACCGGCGCACGGGUGAGUAACACGUAUCCAACCUGCCCUUUACUCGGGGAUAGCCUUUCGAAAGAAAGAUUAAUACCCGAUAGCAUAAUGAUUCCGCAUGGUUUCAUUAUUAAAGGAUUCCGGUAAAGGAUGGGGAUGCGUUCCAUUAGGUUGUUGGUGAGGUAACGGCCCACCAAGCCUUCGAUGGAUAGGGGUUCUGAGAGGAAGGUCCCCCACAUUGGAACUGAGACACGGUCCAAACUCCUACGGGAGGCAGCAGUGAGGAAUAUUGGUCAAUGGGCGCUAGCCUGAACCAGCCAAGUAGCGUGAAGGAUGAAGGCUCUAUGGGUCGUAAACUUCUUUUAUAUAAGAAUAAAGUGCAGUAUGUAUACUGUUUUGUAUGUAUUAUAUGAAUAAGGAUCGGCUAACUCCGUGCCAGCAGCCGCGGUAAUACGGAGGAUCCGAGCGUUAUCCAGAUUUAUUGGGUUUAAAGGGAGCGUAGGUGGACUGGUAAGUCAGUUGUGAAAGUUUGCGGCUCAACCGUAAAAUUGCAGUUGAUACUGUCAGUCUUGAGUACAGUAGAGGUGGGCGGAAUUCGUGGUGUAGCGGUGAAAUGCUUAGAUAUCACGAAGAACUCCGAUUG
rnacentral:rRNA from 1 species